GAGAAAAGUUGUUGUGUGAAUAUUUUCUGACUAAAAAUCCUUCUUUUAUUCCUCAAAUAUGGAUCUUUACGGGCUGAUACUGGAUCCUAAAGGAUUAGAACAAUUUGUGGAGCAAGUAUUGAAUGCAGGGCCCACUGAGGGAAUUUUAGGUGGCUUUCCGGUUCCACAGUGAAUCCAGUCUGGCAACUCCCUUUGCUCUUUCCUUGGCCGUCCAUUCAACGGACUGGAGAGCUGAGGCAAACUCUUCCCGAUGAAGAAGCCCACCAUCAGAAGGAUUUCUGUCAGUAAUUGGUUUUCCUGCAUUACCUCCAAGACCCAACCACAUCUUACUCAAAAACUCUCUUUUCAGCAUGUUAAAUGUGAGAUGCAUACGGUCUAUGGUCAUAUCGAAUAUUGGGUCAAAGUUGUACAAUUUGUAGAGAUCAAAUAGAAUGCUCAUUCCACAAACUCCUGUUUCAACUUGUAUUUGUUGCCGCUAAUUUGCUGUUGUAGCAGCAUUCACCUUCUUUCCAUUUUGUUAUUGGUAGGCAGCAGUUUGAAGAGGAUAAUGCUUGGCCUUAG